CAACAGUUGUCUCUUCAUCUCUAUAAAAACAGAUCUAUCCAGCCUUUCCACUUCAUAAACCAAGUUAAUCGUACUGAUUAGUAUCAUUCCAUUCAGAGAAAAUAAAGAUUUGAAGAAACUAUCAGAGAUGGAGGGAAGAUCUGGUGAAGGAGCCGUUCAGUAUCAAGCCACGGCACCCAGCUGGAUCGAUUUGCAGAAGAACAACAAGAAAGGGUCAUCAGUACUCCCACCAAGGAGGAGGUCUGUGAAGAAGCAGAUGUAUGAUUAUAUAGCUCAACUGAUGGAGAGCAAAGAGAGUAGACAUCGAUGAUCAUUGUGUACAGACAAGUGUGAGAGAUUUUAUGAGUUUCAGUUUUUAGUGUUGGAUUAGAAGACUCUGAUUUCGAUUUCCCAUUCUUUGUACAUAA